UGGGGAAUAUUGCACAAUGGGCGAAAGCCUGAUGCAGCAACGCCGCGUGAGGGACGACGGCCUUCGGGUUGUAAACCUCUUUUAGCAAGGAAGAAGCGAAAGUGACGGUACUUGCAGAAAAAGCGCCGGCUAACUACGUGCCAGCAGCCGCGGUAAUACGUAGGGCGCAAGCGUUAUCCGGAAUUAUUGGGCGUAAAGAGCUCGUAGGCGGUUUGUCGCGUCUGCUGUGAAAACCCGAGGCUCAACCUCGGGCCUGCAGUGGGUACGGGCAGACUAGAGUGCGGUAGGGGAGAUUGGAACUCCUGGUGUAGCGGUGGAAUGCGCAGAUAUCAGGAAGAACACCGAUGGCGAAGGCAGAUCUCUGGGCCGUAACUGACGCUGAGGAGCGAAAGGGUGGGGAGCAAAACAGGCUUAGAUACCCUGGUAGUCCACCCCGUAAACGUUGGGAACUAGUUGUGGGGUCCAUUCCACGGAUUCCGUGACGCAGCUAACGCAUUAAGUUCCCCGCCUGGGGAGUACGGCCGCAAGGCUAAAACUU
rnacentral:rRNA from 1 species